rnacentral:tRNA from 1 species
GCCUGGGUGACUCAGUUGGCUAAGUGUCUGACUUCAGCUCAGGUCAUGAUCUCGCAGUUUGUGGGUUCGAGCCCUGCGUCAGGCU